rnacentral:tRNA from 1 species
AAACCUCAUUUGGUAGAGCCUCAGACUUUUAAUCUAAUGGUCCAGGGUUCAAGUCCCUGUUUA